UGCUCCAUUUGAUCACCAUCAUUCGGUUGGUCAAGACAUGGACCUUCAUCACUGAUCGUCUUGAAUGCUGCACGGGCUGUCGUGACAGGUGAGUGUUCUCCACGAUCGACAGCCGCUCCUUUG
rnacentral:misc_RNA from 1 species